rnacentral:rRNA from 1 species
UACGGGGGGGGCAAGCGUUGUUCGGAAUUACUGGGCGUAAAGGGCUCGUAGGCGGCCAACUAAGUCGGAUGUGAAAUCCCCAGGCUUAACCUGGGAACUGCAUCCGAUACUGGAUGGCUUGAAUCCGGGAGAGGGAUGCAGAAUUCCAGGUGUAGCGGUGAAAUGCGUAGAUAUCUGGAGGAAUACCGGUGGCGAAGGCGGCAUCCUGGACCGACAUUGACGCUGAGGAGCGAAAGCUAGGGGAGCAAACGGGG